rnacentral:rRNA from 1 species
CGACGCUGGCGGCGUGCCUAAUACAUGCAAGUCGAGCGCAGGAAGCCGUCUGAACCCUUCGGGGGGACGACGGUGGAAUGAGCGGCGGACGGGUGAGUAACACGUAAAGAACCUGCCCAUAGGUCUGGGAUAACCACGAGAAAUCGGGGCUAAUACCGGAUGUGUCAUCGGACCGCAUGGUCCGCUGAUGAAAGGCGCUCCGGCGUCGCCCAUGGAUGGCUUUGCGGUGCAUUAGCUAGUUGGUGGGGUAACGGCCCACCAAGGCGACGAUGCAUAGCCGACCUGAGAGGGUGAUCGGCCACACUGGGACUGAGACACGGCCCAGACUCCUACGGGAGGCAGCAGUAGGGAAUCUUCCACAAUGGACGAAAGUCUGAUGGAGCAACGCCGCGUGAACGAUGAAGGCUUUCGGGUCGUAAAGUUCUGUUGUAAGGGAAGAACAAGUGCCGCAGGCAAUGGCGGCACCUUGACGGUACCUUGCGAGAAAGCCACGGCUAACUACGUGCCAGCAGCCGCGGUAAUACGUAGGUGGCAAGCGUUGUCCGGAAUUAUUGGGCGUAAAGCGCGCGCAGGCGGCCUCUUAAGUCUGAUGUGAAAGCCCCCGGCUCAACCGGGGAGGGCCAUUGGAAACUGGGAGGCUUGAGUAUAGGAGAGAAGAGUGGAAUUCCACGUGUAGCGGUGAAAUGCGUAGAGAUGUGGAGGAACCCAGUGGCGAAGGCCACUCUUUGGCCUAUAACUGACGCUGAGGGGCGAAAACCUGGGGAGCAACAGGAUUAGAUACCCUGGUUA